ACGCUGGCGGCAGGCCUAACACAUGCAAGUCGAGCGGUAGAGAGAAGCUUGCUUCUCUUGAGAGCGGCGGACGGGUGAGUAAUGCCUAGGAAUCUGCCUGGUAGUGGGGGAUAACGUUCGGAAACGGACGCUAAUACCGCAUACGUCCUACGGGAGAAAGCAGGGGACCUUCGGGCCUUGCGCUAUCAGAUGAGCCUAGGUCGGAUUAGCUAGUUGGUGAGGUAAUGGCUCACCAAGGCGACGAUCCGUAACUGGUCUGAGAGGAUGAUCAGUCACACUGGAACUGAGACACGGUCCAGACUCCUACGGGAGGCAGCAGUGGGGAAUAUUGGACAAUGGGCGAAAGCCUGAUCCAGCCAUGCCGCGUGUGUGAAGAAGGUCUUCGGAUUGUAAAGCACCUUUAAGUUGGGAGGAAGGGUUGUAGAUUAAUACUCUGCAAUUUUGACGUUACCGACAGAAUAAGCACCGGCUAACUCUGUGCCAGCAGCCGCGGUAAUACAGAGGGUGCAAGCGUUAAUCGGAAUUACUGGGCGUAAAGCGCGCGUAGGUGGUUUGUUAAGUUGGAUGUGAAAUCCCCGGGCUCAACCUGGGAACUGCAUUCAAAACUGACUGACUAGAGUAUGGGUAGAGGGUGGUGGAAUUUCCUGUGUAGCGGUGAAAUGCGUAGAUAUAGGAAGGAACACCAGUGGCGAAGGCGACCACCUGGACUAAUACUGACACUGAGGUGCGAAAGCGUGGGGAGCAAAC
rnacentral:rRNA from 1 species